CAAAGGGAGCAAUCCCGGCCACGGAUGGGCAUGCGGCGCAUUAGCUAGUCGGCGGGGUAACGGCCCACCGAGGCGACGAUGCGUAGGGGUUCUGAGAGGAAGGCCCCCCACACUGGUACUGAGACACGGACCAGACUCCUACGGGAGGCAGCAGUGAGGAAUAUUGGUCAAUGGGCGCGAGCCUGAACCAGCCAAGUCGCGUGAGGGAGGACGGCCCUACGGGUUGUAAACCUCUUUUGCCGGGGAGCAACGGGCGUCACGUGUGGCGCCACUGAGAGUACCCGGAGAAAAAGCAUCGGCUAACUCCGUGCCAGCAGCCGCGGUAAUACGGAGGAUGCGAGCGUUAUCCGGAUUUAUUGGGUUUAAAGGGUGCGUAGGCGGAUCGUUAAGUCAGUGGUCAAAUUGAGGGGCUCAACCCCUUCCCGCCAUUGAAACUGGCGAUCUUGAGUGGAAGAGAAGUAUGCGGAAUGCGUGGUGUAGCGGUGAAAUGCAUAGAUAUCACGCAGAACCCCGAUUGCGAAGGCAGCAUGCCGGCUUCCGACUGACGCUGAAGCACGAAAGCGUGGGGAUCGAACAGGAUUAGAUACCCUGGUAGUCCACGCGGUAAACGAUGAGCGCUAGGUGUCCGGGGGGAAUGGCCUCU
rnacentral:rRNA from 1 species